UUAGUGGUUUCCUUCUCUCACUUAUUAGAUGUCAGGUGUGUGUGUGUAUGUUUUUUCCUCACAUUCCAGUGGGAUUUUGAUUAUUUCAAAAACAAGUUUUCCACCAUCAAUUUCUGCCAGUCCUCAUGGAUAUCUAUCUCAUUAAGCACUUUUAUUCUUAUUAUUUUUUUUAGUUUAUUUAUUUCUUUUUGGCUGCUUUGGGUCUUCAUUGCUGUGUGUGAGCUUUCUCUAGUUGUAGCUAGUGAGAGCUACUCUUCGUUGCAGUGUGCAGGCUUCUCUUUGGGAUGGCUUCUCUUGUUGUGGAGCAAGGGCUCUAGGUGUGUGGGCUUCAGUAGUUGCAGCACAUGGGCUUAGUUGCUCUGCAGCAUGUGGGAUCUUCCCGGACCAGGGCUCAAACCCAUGUCCCCUGCAUUGGCAGGCCGAUUCUUAACCACUGCGCCACCAGGGAAACCCUAAGUACUUUUAAUAGCUCUGGAUAGUUACACAGUCUGAAAUGUUUUUCUGAGUUUGUCUCCUCUCCAUAUGCAGACACUGUCAGUGCACUUACAGGUGACGUAAUCACUUCCAAGGAGCAGAUGACAUUGUGGGGUUCUAAACCUUUAUCUCAGGCUUACGUGUCCCCAUUGCACACUCAGAUGCUGCCAUGGCAUACUUGUUAUGGGAGCAAAUACACAUUUGACUUACAGCUGUUGUCCAGGGGUUCCAUCCUCAGCCAGACUUACAGCUGCUGUCCAGGGGUUCCAUCCUCAGCAGAGGAGUCAGGUAAUGCCCUUCAGUCAGCCCUGCACCUCCUCUUCCCUGUACUGCAAAAAGUGAAAUCUUUUUUGGCAAGGCUGAAAGGGCCUUAAAUAUUGCAUGGGAGACACUUUAUAUGUUCCAGAAAUGGUUUAGGAAAUCUGGAAGGAACUCGAAUUAAGAAACUAGACACUUUCAGGUCUGUACAAUUAAUGGGCACCAAUCUAACUGCUAUAUAUAAGUUUGCCUCCAGUAGGUUAAUAUUUCCCACAAAUGUUCCCCUGCAACUCGUCCUGGAGACUGGGUCCUACUGAAACACUGGAAAACUAAGCAUCCAGAAGACCAGUCCAUAUUUGCUGGGCCAGACCUCAUAAGGAACGACACAGGAACAGAAACCACGCUGUUGAAGAAAACCAUGACCAAUAUCAUCCAAAUCCUGGCUGGUUCCAGAUCCCCGAUACUGACUUCUCUGAAUGGGCAAUGAACCCCUACAGAUCUUAAGUUGCUUUCAGAAGGAAGUUACGAGAAAAAAAUUAAGGUGAGGGACUUCCCUGGUGGUCCAGUGGUUAAGAAUCUGCCUUCCAAUGCAAGGGACAUGGGUUCGAUCCCUGGUCGGGGAACUAAGAUCCCACAUGCCAUGGGCCAACUAAGCCCGCGCACUCUAAAGCCCGUUCGCCACAACUAGAGAGCCCGUGUGCUGCAACUGCUGAGCCCACGCACCACAAUGAAAGAUCCCAUGUGCUGCAACUAAGACCAAACACAGCCAAGUAAAUAAAAUAAAUAAAUAAAAUAUUUUUUUAAAAGAAAUUAAGGUGAAUUGUACCAAAGCUCUUGUUCAGUCAAUAGGAUUGUCUGCUGGCUUUAUAUACUGUUAACCUAACUGCAUGCCUGACAUUUAUGACUGAGGAACUCUAAAUCUUUGUGGGGAUAUCUAUGCUCCUAGUGGGAUGGCUACAGUGGUGACUUUGGCAAAGUAAACUUCUUCAGAAGGUAAUGCCCCAAGGCAAAGCAACAAAUAAUUAGCUCACUAGAUCAACCAGAAUGAGUGUUCUUUUCUUUUGCUAUAUUUCCUCUGUGAUUUUAUCCUUCCAGGAUUGGAAGAAUAAUUAGGAUUUCUCAAACAUUGGGAAAAACAGGCAAUCUUUCUAGAUGUUGGCUAAGUCAUCUAAAACCUUUUUCUGUAUGUAAUCAUGCUGACCCCUUGGUUGUGCCUGUCAUGAGUGUUUUGGCCAUCCUGAACUUCACUAUGAUUAUGAAUUAAAAAAAAAACUUCAGAUGUACUCUGGGAAAAAGCUGACUCAUUAGCCAAAGUAGUCCUAGAUAAUUGUAUAGCUCCAGAUUAUAUACUAGCUGAACAGGGUGAAGUUUGUGCUAUUGCUAAUACCUCUUGUCAUGUAUACAUUAAUGCCUAAGCUGAAGUGGAAACUCAUAUAGACAAAAUCAGGCAACAGACUACUGGCUACAGCAAAUAUCCCAGAAGCACUGGGUCCAAACUGGUUUCCAGGACUAUUUUCCUGGAUCCAAUCUCUUAGGAAAUAUAUGCUCAUGGAUCCCAUCAGGAAUAAGGUCUAUAUUAUAGGGAUUAGUUAACUAGGUGGUGUUGUUUUAUGCUUGCUAGGAUUUAUAUUCCUUCUUGUCAGAAAUCUACUUGCUGUUUGUCUCAUAUGUUUAAACCCCAAACCCCAACCCAUAUGAACAUAAAGGCCCAGAACAAAAGCCUUGGCCUCAUCUAGGGAAUCAUGAGUAUUUGCAAUCAAAUAAGAAACAGUUUCAUUCCUCAAGCCCAUAUCAGGCCUAUGCCUCUUCUGCAGGAAGUAGCCAGAGUAGUCAUUGCCCCUCUUCCCUUAAGACUGAGUAAUGAUCAAAAGGCAGGGGGUGGGGGUGGUGUGAUGAACUGGGCGAUUGAGAUUGACAUGUAUACACUGAUGUGUAUAAAAUUGAUGACUAAUAAGAACCUGCUGUAUAAACAAAUAAAUAAAAAUUUUUAAAAAAA